GAUUCAUCGUCAGCGAUUCUGGUACUUGUACGGUUCGCGAUACCACGGGGCUUCUGUCUCGUGGCACGCGUCCGUGCGAUUUUUUUGCCGGUAUCGUCGGCGUGCACUUCUCCCCUGGUAGGACGUCGCGACCCGUUGGGUGUCGGUCUACGGCCCGGGUGGUAGCCUGUCUCGUGUGCGCCUCGCGGCGUUUACGCGGGUCAGACCCCCGGCUGCCCGACCCUGCUGCCCGGCGGUGUAAUUUACGGUAUCUAGUCGCACGUAUUCAAACUGCGUCCGGCCCGUUGCAAGCGAGGCAAGUGCUUUCCCGGAUGUUCGGAUCCAAUGCCGUCACUGGGCCUUGCCAGCUGUUGGUUGACGGUGUCCUAGGACUGACUAUUGCAAUUAUGAUACCGGUCGGCGAUGCUACUGCUUUGGGUACUUUCAGGACCCGUCUUGAAACACGGACCAAGGAGUCUAACAUGUGCGCGAGUCAUUGGGAACUGUAAGCCUAAAGGCGCAAUGAAAGUGAAGAUCGGCCUUGCGCCAAUCGAGGGAGGAUGGGUUGCGUCAAAAUGCUUCCUCGCACUCCCGGGGUGUCUCGUUCUCAUUGCGAGAAGAGGCGCACCCAGAGCGUACACGU
rnacentral:rRNA from 1 species